AUCUUUGCGCUUAGGGCAAUGUCACAGCCUGUGGGAUCUAAUCGGGGCGCGACUAUUGCUGGUUGGAAACCUAUUCCUUCCCCGUCGGUCGUACCCUUUCGGGACAUUCCGCAAUAUCUGUUCAACACCAGCGU
rnacentral:snRNA from 1 species